rnacentral:rRNA from 1 species
GACGAACGCUGGCGGCGUGCUUAACACAUGCAAGUCGAACGAUGAAGAAAAUUAUCGUUGCUUCGGCAGAAAUUCAUGUCGGAUUAGUGGGAGACGGGUGAGUAACCCGUGAGCAACCUACCGCUAACAAAGGGAUAGCGUGGGUAAACCGGGAUUAACACCAUAUAACAUUGCGACGAUGCAGGUAGGUUAAAGUAAAGGUACGGCGGUAAGUGGUGGGCUCGCGUCCCGUUGGCCGGAUGGUGAGGUAACGAGUCACCAUAGGGAGGAUGGGUAACCGGCUUGAGAGGGUGCACGGUCACACUGGAUCUGAGAGACGGUCGAGAGUAAUACGGGAGGAAGGAGGGGAGAAUAAUGCACCAUGGAGGGAAGUCUGAUGGAGCGACGCCGCGUGAGAGAUGCAGGCAUUAGUGACGUAAAACUCUGUUGUAUGUGAAGAAAAGGACUGUACCUUAGGAGAAAGCUCCGGCUAACUACGUG